GACGAACGCUGGCGGCGUGCUUAACACAUGCAAGUCGAACGGAAAGGCCCUGCUUUUGUGGGGUGCUCGAGUGGCGAACGGGUGAGUAACACGUGAGUAACCUGCCCUUGACUUUGGGAUAACUUCAGGAAACUGGGGCUAAUACCGGAUAGGAGCUCCUGCUGCAUGGGGGGGGUUGGAAAGUUUCGGCGGUUGGGGAUGGACUCGCGGCUUAUCAGCUUGUUGGUGGGGUAGUGGCUUACCAAGGCUUUGACGGGUAGCCGGCCUGAGAGGGUGACCGGCCACAUUGGGACUGAGAUACAGCCCAGACUCCUACGGGAGGCAGCAGUGGGGAAUAUUGCACAAUGGGCGGAAGCCUGAUGCAGCAACGCCGCGUGCGGGAUGACGGCCUUCGGGUUGUAAACCGCUUUCGCCUGUGACGAAGCGUGAGUGACGGUAAUGGGUAAGGAAGCACCGGCUAACUACGUG
rnacentral:rRNA from 1 species